UGAAAUUAUUUGAAUAAUAUAUUUUUCAAGCAUAAAAAGAAAGAAUAAUGUAUUUGUAAGAAUUUGAGUAAUACUCAGUGUUGCAACGAAAGAAAGGGUAGAGCAGAGCAUGGACGACGAAGGCUCAAACUCAAGCACCAUCCAGAAGAUUCUAGAUCUUCUCUACACCGCGGGCUUCGUCCACGCGACAGACUCCGAUGCGUCACCGUCUGAAAAAGUCGCAGCCGGUCUCUCUUGGUGCAUCGCCGCCAUAACAGACCAGGACAAAACACUCGGCAUUGAUGAAUCUUUAGAAUUAGUUGGAUGCCCUCACCGUCUUCGACUCUCUCAUGUCCAAGAUCUCGAUGCCGACGCUCUUUUUCCUGUAAUUCAGUGGCUUACGUCACACCUUCCACAAAAUCAAGAACACCGUGCCAGUGAGGUUUCUCAUGCUGAAAAUACCGUUGCAGCGGAUGAGUCCAAGACUUCGAUUGAGGCAUUGAGUGGCAACUUGGAUGAACUGGUUGCAUUUGCAUCUAUGCCCUGUAUAAAUUUAUUUGGUUUUGCUAUUGGAUGGGCAUGUUAUUUUGGCCUAAAGAAUCAGCAGAAGAUGAACGUUGUGAAGCAAUUAACUACUCUACAAGAGAGAAUCAAUAAUGAGGGUGCUGAUUCUGCGGCACAGAAGUUAAUUUCUUUAAUGACGUCUUUGAAGGAUCUUGAAAAGCAGGACAAUUACUUUCAGUCCAAUCGCGAUUCUAAACACUCAGAACUUCAAGCUGAUAUUAGUGAAUUAGAGAGGCAAAUUACAAAUUACAGUGAUAACAGGAAUCUAUCUGAUGGACUACAUAAUUCUUUUAGUGAAUUAGUUGAAAAAGUCGAUUUGAUGAAAAAGCAACUUGCUGCUAGAUUGAGGAAUAUUGUAGCACUAAGACGUCAGAUUGAUGACCUACCAUGCCAAUCAGAAGUCAUCCAGUAUGAGUGUCGGCUCUCCGAACUGUAUAUGAAAAUCCAGGGAAAACAUCGACAAACUCAUAAGUACUAUGCUACCUACAAUGCACUCUUGGAAAUAAAAGAACUGAUGUUAAAGGAAGCAUCUUUGUUGAAUUCGAUCAUUUCUCAGUUUCAAGAGGCCUUUAGUAGCACCGAUGGGCGUAUAAAACUAGUUCAUUCCAUGGAAGGAAUUGUCAAGGGAAGUCAACAGAAGCUAGAAAAGGUUCAUGUAGGACUUCAAGAAGAAGAAAGAAUCCGCAAUGAUCUGAAGGGAAGGUAUGCUGCAGCAGUCGGUGAGAGGAAGCGCUGCUAUUACCUGUCGAAAGCUUUUCAGGCCCAAUGUGCGAAGAAGUGAAAUUGCCCACAUGACAAAUGAAAAGUGCACAAAGUAAGGGUUGCAGUUCAUGCUCACAACGAAAUGUUUGUGUUUGUACCAUGAGGUACCGUAGGAAUACUCCCGACGUCCCAAGCUUCAAAUUGAACCGAAUAAUUUCAAGUUCUGAAACUGUUAAAAGAGUCGUGGAGCGUAAGGGUAGAAGAGCUUUUAGUCAGACAAACCAUAUUUCUGCCUCUAGGACGAUCGUUCACACUAGGGAUGGCUCAAGUCACUGUCUCGGUCACUGGAAUCUUUGAUGACCAACUUUGAUGAGAAAUCUUUGUGUACGUAUGUAUGUAUUACAAAUGGAGCUGGAGGUGUUCCUGAUGGGUCUUUCAAACGAGGACCAAUGCUUAUGGCUGCGUUCACUGUUCUAUCCUCUUCUGUUAUAUCUGUUAUGAACAUGGUUCUUGCUUUUCACCAAUACAGCUCCACGAAAGUAAUAGGAUUUAACUCUGUUUCAUUGCCACUCAAUUGGGUUUUGGCCACUGUUGUUUCGUUUUAUUCAGUGAGGACCAGAGUGAGGGAGAAUAAAAAAUUCCCUCUUGUGCUCAUACUGUGGUGGGUUUUCUCUUCUCUCGUGGAUGUGCUCUCUCUGUUUGUAAGGGUGGUCAAAGAUUUCGAAGUGUUGGACUUGUGGUUUUUCUUGUCAGAGGAUAACUUAGUUGCUUCGUUUUCCUUGCCUUUGUUGGUGGUUCUUUGUUUCAAUGUGUGUAGAAGGGAGCACAGUGAUAUGGAAGAGGGGUUGCUUCAGAUCGAGGAGGAGUUUUCCAUGGAGGAACACGAUGAAGAGGCCUUCACUAAUGCAAGUGUGUGGAACAAGCUUAUCUUCCGUUGGUUGAACCCCAUUUUCAAAAUGGGUCGGGUUAAAAAGCUUGAACUUCCUCAUAUUCCUCUAGUUCCUUGUUCUGAAUCCGCGGAAAGUGCUUCUUCCAUGUUGGAAGGGUCACUUCGGAAACAGAAACUCGGAGAGGGCUCCUUGGCAAAAGCUAUAGCCGAUUCUGUAUGGAAGUCUUUGGCCUUGAAUGCAGUUUUAGUUGGUAUAUUUUAUAUUUUAUUCAGUGUCACCGUUACUGUUCCUCUUUGAUUUUUGUGCACUUUUAAUCAAAGUACACAAAAUAGCUUGUGAUAUUAAAUGGCUUAGUUGCAUCAGAGCUGGUCUGAGAGUCACUGUUUCUUAUUUCGAUUUCCUUGAAUGCUUUUUAUAUCAAAUUUGCAGGCUAUGGAGUUUUCUGCUAAUCAAAACUCCAUCGUUAAAUUUUCUUUCGAGGCUUAUAAGCUUAGAGAAUAAACAUGAGUUUUUGAUUUCCUUCUCCUUCUGA